rnacentral:rRNA from 1 species
UACGGAGGGUGCAAACGUUGCUCGGAAUCAUUGGGCGUAAAGCGCACGUAGGCGGUCCAGCAAGUCGGGUGUGAAAGCCCUCGGCUUAACCGAGGAAGUGCAUUCGAAACUACUGGACUUGAGUACUGAAGAGGGUCGCGGAAUUCCCGGUGUAGAGGUGAAAUUCGUAGAUAUCGGGAGGAACACCAGUGGCGAAGGCGGCGACCUGGGCAGAUACUGACGCUGAGGUGCGAAAGCGUGGGGAGCGAACGGG